CACUUUCAAUAUAUUAUCAUUUGCUUGUCUAUAAAAGAUGGUCCCUCGACCAUAGUUGAUUUUGUUGGUUGGGUGGCAACCCGUUAAGGGUGUGGGUAGGGCUGCUCCUCUGCCCUUGGCGUUUUGCUAGGGUGUGAGGGGUGUUUUCUUCCUUGUAACUUAAGCCACUACUUUGGUGGUUUUUUUAAUACAAUCUCUUUACUUGUCAAAAAAAUAUAUUAUCAUUUGGUUGUCCAAAAAAUGCAACAUCAUGCUUGUGUUAACAUAAAAAAUAUAAAAUUUCAAUGUUUAGAUCAUUCAUAAAAGGCAUAAUAUAUAUAUACUAUUAUUAUGCCAAAAUUUCUAAGGAGGAGGUUUCACCACAAUAUGAAAGCUAAUAAAAGUCACUUUCAAUGGCCAAACUAUCAUUAUUCAAAUCCCUUUAAACUUGUAUCUAAUAGGCUCUCUUUCACUUGUAGAGACAUGAAACAAAAUGCAAUCAAAUUCUGAGCUUUGUAAAGUGGUAGAAAUUUCAGUUCUUAUGAGGGAAAAUGGACCUAGAAAUCUCAAUCUCAAGAAAGAAAGUGUAAACAAAUGUUAGAAGGUGUUCUUUUUGCCCUAUGAGAUGUUUAGAAAAGUUGAAUGAAACAUAUUUUGUUUCUUGAUCAAACAAUACAACUAAAAAAGCAACUGUUAUUAGUGUGAUUAUUAUUAUUUUUUUUUUUAAGUUUUAGGUCAUCUGUUCAGUUGAUCCAAAAUUGUUUAUCAUAUCUGUAUUGUCCAAUAAAGUUAAUUGCUGCAUGUAUUACAUGGUACAUGUACAAAUAGUAUUAUUUUGAUAACUGCAAUAAAAAUGUGAACAAAAAGGUUGAAUUUUCUUCUAAUAAUUUCCCUAUAUAUGUGGAGGAUGAGGAUGGAGACCUAGAUAACGCUUCAGAACUUAUUAUGAGAUGGUCCAACCUCAGGCCUUCAUGAUCAGAUGCCUUGCUCUGAUCAAAAAAAAAAAAAAUGAUCAGAUGCCUUGCACGGUGGAUUAUCACAAUAUAUGAUAGAGCUUCUAUUCCUGUCUAGGUUUUAUGUCACUCUGCUGAGUUCAAUGUGUUCCAUUAAAUCAUAUGAUAUAUCAUAUUUUGUAUACUCUGUGUGUACUCUAUUGUGCCAUUUUCCAACUGCUUUUAAUAUAUCCUCC
rnacentral:lncRNA from 1 species